GGUCCCAUCGUCUAGCGGUCUAGGAUACCGGCCUCUCACGCCGGAGACACGGGUUCGAUUCCCGUUGGGACUGCCA
rnacentral:tRNA from 1 species